UACGUAGGUGGCGAGCGUUGUCCGGAUUUACUGGGCGUAAAGGGAGCGUAGGCGGACUUUUAAGUGAGAUGUGAAAUACUCGGGCUCAACUUGAGUGCUGCAUUUCAAACUGGAAGUCUAGAGUGCAGGAGAGGAGAAUGGAAUUCCUAGUGUAGCGGUGAAAUGCGUAGAGAUUGGGAAGAACACCAGUGGCGAAGGCGGUUCUCUGGACUGUAACUGACGCUGAGGCUCGAAAGCGUGGGGAGCAAACAGG
rnacentral:rRNA from 1 species